rnacentral:rRNA from 1 species
CCUGCCGUUGCCGGCGACCGGCGCACGGGUGAGUAACACGUAUGCAACCUGCCCGUGGCAGGGGGAUAAGCGGGGGAAACCCCGUCUAAUACCGCGUAACGCGGCCUUGGGGCAUCCCAAGGCCGCCAAAGGGAGCAAUCCCGGCCACGGAUGGGCAUGCGGCGCAUUAGCUAGUCGGCGGGGUAACGGCCCACCGAGGCGACGAUGCGUAGGGGUUCUGAGAGGAAGGCCCCCCACACUGGUACUGAGACACGGACCAGACUCCUACGGAAGGCAGCAG